rnacentral:rRNA from 1 species
UACGUAGGGUGCAGGCGUUAAUCGGAAUUACUGGGCGUAAAGCGUGCGCAGGCGGUCUUUUAAGUCAGAUGUGAAAUCCCCGGGCUUAACCUGGGAACUGCGUUUGAAACUGGAAGGCUAGAGUGUGGCAGAGGGGGGGUGGAAUUCCACGGUGUAGCAGUGAAAUGCGUAGAUAAUGUGGAGGAACACCGAUGGCGGAAGGCAGCCCCCUGGGUCAAGAUUGACGCUCAUGCACGAAAGCGUGGGGAGCAAACAG